rnacentral:rRNA from 2 species
CGGGGCGGGCUUGCCUAAUACAUGCAAGUCGAGCGAACUAAUGGGAGCUUGCUCCCUGAAAUUAGCGGCGGACGGGUGAGUAACACGUGGGCAACCUGCCUGUAAGACUGGGAUAACUUCGGGAAACCGGAGCUAAUACCGGAUGACUUCUUUUCUCUCCUGAUCCAUUAUGGAAAGAUGGUUUCGGCUGUCACUUAUAGAUGGGCCCGCGGCGCAUUAGCUAGUUGGUGAGGUAACGGCUCACCAAGGCGACGAUGCGUAGCCGACCUGAGAGGGUGAUCGGCCACACUGGGACUGAGACACGGCCCAGACUCCUACGGGAGGCAGCAGUAGGGAAUCUUCCGCAAUGGACGAAAGUCUGACGGAGCAACGCCGCGUGAACGAUGAAGGCCUUCGGGUCGUAAAGCUCUGUUGUUAGGGAAGAAUAAGUGCCAGAUGAACUGCUGGUACCCUUAACGGUCCUUACCCAAAAGCCCCCGGUUAAUUCCUGGCCACCACCCCCGGAAUAACUAAGUGGGCAGCGUUUGCCCGAAAUUUUGGGGCGUAAACGCGGGGCAGUGGGUUCCUUAAUCUGAAGGGGAAACCCCCCGGUUCACCCUGGAAGGGCCAUUGAAACUGGGGAACUUUGAUGGCAAAAAAGAAAGUGGAAUUUCCAGUGGUACGGGGAAAUGGCGAAAAAAUUUGAAGGAACACCAUGGGCAAAGGCAAUUUCUCGGGCUGGUCUCUGACUGUGAGGCGAAAAGCUGGGGAGAGCAAACGGAAUAAAAUCCCUGGGAAUCCCACGCUGAUACCAAUAGAGGCUAUGUGUUAGAGGUUCUCCGCCUUUAAGCCGUGACUAACGCAUUUAACACUCUCCCCCGGGGAGAACAGGGCCGCAAGACUGAACUCCAGAGAAUUGAAGGGAGCCCCGACAACUGGUGAACAGUGGUUAAAUUCAGCACACCAAGAACCUUCACAGCUUGCAUCCUUGACAACCUAAGAUAAGCGUUCCCUCCGGGA